ACAACUUUCAACAACGGAUCUCUUGGCUCUCGCAUCGAUGAAGAACGCAGCGAAAUGCGAUAAGUAAUGUGAAUUGCAGAAUUCAGUGAAUCAUCGAAUCUUUGAACGCACCUUGCGCUCCUUGGUAUUCCGAGGAGCAUGCCUGUUUGAGUGUCAGUAAA
rnacentral:rRNA from 8 species